rnacentral:rRNA from 1 species
GUGAGUAACACGUGGAUAACCUACCUAUAAGACUGGGAUAACUUCGGGAAACCGGAGCUAAUACCGGAUAAUAUAUUGAGCCGCAUGGUUCAAUAGUGAAAGACGGUUUUGCUGUCACUUAUAGAUGGAUCCGCGCCGCAUUAGCUAGUUGGUAAGGUAACGGCUUACCAAGGCAACGAUGCGUAGCCGACCUGAGAGGGUGAUCGGCCACACUGGAACUGAGACACGGUCCAG